UGAGGAAUAUUGGGCAAUGCCCGCAAGGGUGACCCAGCAACGCCGCGUGGAGGAUGAAUGUCGUAAGAUUGUAAACUCCUGUUAGAGGGGAAGAAUAGUACCGGUUGGACCGGUAUAUGACUGUACCCUCAGAGAAAGCCCCGGCUAACUCCGUGCCAGCAGCCGCGGUAAUACGGAGGGGGCUAGCGUUGUUCGGAAUUACUGGGCGUAAAGCGUACGUAGGCGGAUGCGCAAGUUGGGGGUGAAAUCCCGGGGCUUAACCUCGGAAUUGCCCUCAAAACUGCACGUCUUGAGACCGAGAGAGGUAAGGGGAAUUCCUAGUGUAGAGGUGAAAUUCGUAGAUAUUAGGAAGAACACCAGUGGCGAAGGCGCCUUACUGGCUCGGUACUGACGCUGAGGUACGAAAGCGUGGGGAGCAAACA
rnacentral:rRNA from 1 species